CUACUACAUAUUCUGGCAGUGCAAAUCAGGAUGUGUUCCGUAGGAGUAAUUGUAUUUUGUUCUGAAUCAUAUAGAUUAAUAGAUAAGAGUUUAGGGGCGAUUCAGCUUCGAGAUUAGUGAGUUAACCAUAAAUAAAAUAAAAUACACGUUGGUUAGGUGGUAGGUUUCUCCUAAAACGGAAAAUCAAAAAUAUUUCGUCUCAUUUCCCCCCAUUUUCUUGGAAAACAAAGAAGAGGUCUCAAGCACCACCAACAACAACAACUCCCAAAGUAACAGCGGCGGCACCAAAAACAACAACAACAACAGCGAGACAACACCAAAGAGCGCACUGCAAUGGCGAUUUUCUUUUCGGGUUUUCGGGCUGCUUGGCCUAGUUUUGCAAUUGGUGCAUCGGAAAAGCGGCGCAAGGAUUACUAAAUCAAAGUUUAAAGCCUGCCGGAUGAUGCUCUGUUCCUUUUACUAGAUUACCUGGAUCGUGGAACUCAGCUCAAGAUGAUGCGAGUGCAUUCGCAUUUUUUGAAUAUAGUCCACAGUUUUGGCGUUUCAACUGAAAAAAUAUGUUGAUAGUAGAGCCAAUUGUUCUCGAAGACUUAAUUUUGAUUUUGAAAGAAUCAGAACAGAACAAACAAUCAAACAGAGAAAACUUCGUGGAAAAAUAUAUAUAUGUAACCCAAUUUCAAUGAUCAGCGGCUGGCCACCCGAAACUUUCAAUUAAAGGACUCGAAUGUGAUAAAACUAGAUCAGUCUUUGCCCAAUGUGAGUUUGCCUCUGGUAGGUUUAACUAAUCUGGAGUUACUUCACUGCGACAGCUCAGAAAUUAGUGCUUGGUUUCUUGACAAAAUACAUUUUCUGGUCAACCGCAGAGAACUCAACAUAAGUGACUAUUUGCAUGAAAACGUAGCCAGAGAUCUACUUGAUUCCCCAUCAGUAAUUAAAUUAAUUCAAUCAUUGGCUUUAGCUUCUUAUUGUACGAUUCGACUUGGGUAUGUCAUUAUUGUACACACAGAUAUCCCAAAUACUAAGAGACUUUAUUUAAAGAGCUGCGUGAUCAGAAGCCAAAAUGAUUUCUAUUCGCAAAUAAAAGCAUUAAAAACAACAGAAUUUAUAUGCUUUGAUUGCUGUCAGUUUGGGUUUUAUGUCUUCAGGUAAAGACAUUGCCUAGGAUCGCAUUGCCAAACUAAAUCUGUAUAUAAUUGAGAUCAAAGUCCUAGUAUUCCUAUAAUCAUAUGAAGUAAGUUAUGGGGUAGGUCUAUCGGUAUUAUCAUUAACUGAAGCAAAUUGUUUUAUUUUUUAUGAUAGCUGCCAAGUUGAUUGGAAAGUGGUGAACUUCCAAAGGAGCUGAAAGUCGAGUACAAUCAUGAGCCUUUCCUCAUUCAGUUUGAAUAAAAAUCAAUAAUACCUACGCUUGUUAACCUGACAUAGAAUUAAAUAAAAGACGCAUCCAUUGUCUCUUGCAUGAAAGUUGAAUUUUUAUUUAAUUUGCAGCCAAUGAAUUCAAUAGUAAUUUCGGUAGAUUAACUUAUGCUGUUUGAUUUUCCAACUCCCACACCAUCCUCAAAUACCAGGCAAUAAUUCUUUCUUGAAAUGCGCGCGCCAAUAUGUUUGAAGGGAAAAUAAUUUCUAAACGAACUAUGAACCAAAAACUGUAAUUAUCCUUGGCAAAUUUUGCUCAAUUAAAUAGAGUGUGUGUGUGUGCUACUUCGAAUUAUUGCGAGGUAUUCGGGAUAGUUCAGAGUCGAUUUAAUUCUAUUGGUAUUUAUUGGUAGACACAUCUGAAAACACUUAGUAACUAGGUAUUGAUGUCGGCUUUAAGAUUUCGUAGAGUUUUUGAUUUUGGUUUUCGAAUAGUUCGAUUGUUAGUUUUAUGGAAGUAAAAUAUUGUGAUAUCUGUGUACAAUAGUUAUUCGCCUCUUAUCUUAACCAAUGUAUGUCAUUAUCGUUAAUCGUUUGCAUUUUUUUCAUUUAAGUUUAGCUAAUUACUUUUUACCCAUUUUUCCCGAAAGUAGUUUGCUCUUCAAAUGUUACAUUUUGUCCGCAUUUUGGUGGCGAACGUUUUUUGCUUAGAUUUUAUAUAAUAUGCCAGCUUAUUCAAAGAAAUCCUCGAUACAUAAUAACCGAUAAUAGUACAACAGUUUUAUUAAUUUGCGUUUCAUUAAUAUAAUUAUUUUUUACGUUGUUUACCUAGUUGGGGAGGGGCUUUAACAAUUAAAGUUUAAAUUUAAUUUAAACCGUCUUCCUUCUGCUCUCUGAUAAGUUACCAUGCAGUAUUGAAUCUAUGAAUAUUACAGCUUAAUACGAUGCUCAACAAAUGUGCUUAAGCCUAGUUAAUAUGCAUAGCCGAUAGCUAAUCCUUACACACACAUUAAAUGUCGCCAGAUAGCUUAAAUAUUAAAUAUACAAUACGAUGAUCGAGUACUUGCUUCAGUUAUAACGAUUCCAAUGUCUUGGUUCCCAAAUCCCAAAUCCCAAACGCCCAAUCUUGACCCCCCAAACUCGAAUCCAUUCUUGAAGCUGAAGAGAGCGAUAGAGAAAUGGAGCUCUAACACCUAACAUAUGUACAUAGCUAUGAGUUAUACGUUAAUAAGUCAAUUCACGUCAAGUUGGAAAACACAUUAAAAGUAUUGGUAGUAGAUUGCUCUAUAUGCGUAUUAUCCUAGUUAUGUCUGGCUUAACAUCUAGUUAUUUUGAUUAGAUACUUUUGUAUUUGUAUUGUUGGUGGCAUCGACAUCUCACUAUUUGCCACAAUGCAACACUUCACUUUGCUUCUAAAAACAGUCUCCACUUGGCUCUAUAAAUUUAGCUAUGACUAAUACGUAGAAUACAUUAGCAUUUGGGUUAACAUAAAUUCAAUCCCCUAUUUACAACUGCUUAUCGGCUAUGGCUUAUAGACUAGAGCGCCUUGUCAUGAUCAUUGUCCUUAAACGUCCUUGGAGUUUUAUUCACUGGGCUUCUUUGGUAUACAAUUGCGUUAAUCCUCCUGCUCCCAAUCUGGUGGUAUAGCCGAAGAGGUUAGAUCAACAUCCGCUUGUUGGCUUAGCAGAAGCGUCUGCAAAAAUAAUCCAAUUUACAAGAUUCAUUAGCAGUGCCGAGGAGCAAACUUUUUGCAUUCACGGAAAAGUUCAUUGAGAUGCUAAGGCGGCCAAACUAAGUAGAAAUUUUCGAAAUUAAUGUUACUUAAUUUAACUUUCAUGUUGCCUUUGGUAAUGGAAAUGAAAAUGAAAAUGAAUGAAUGGCAAAGAUUUAACUGCUGCCACAUGCAGAUGUGGAGGAGCUCCUCCGUCCUCCAUUCUUCAUCCUCCAUCCAUCCAUCCAUCCCGCCCUCUAAAUGCAUUGCAAAUGGUAACUAUUCAAAACUUGUGCGCCCGUCUUUGUAGAUAAAAUCCAGUUUGGGUUUUGGUUUUGGCUUUUCGGGGGGGCGUUUAAUUCUAAUGGCCCAUCUGGCUGCAUUGACCGAAAUCAGGGCAUGCAGAUGACAGGUCCGAUAAAGGUCUGAUAAAACUUUUCCUUUUGAGUGCCCCCCAAAGUUUUUCUCCCGCUUAGCGGCUGACGUAUUGUUUCCAGUCAUCAGAGAGUGUUUGGCUCAAAAAACAUAAAAAACCGAAACAGAAACAGAAACAGAAACUCCUUCUAAAGCUGCACUUGCGACCUCUUCACUCAGCUCAAGCAAUAUCCAUUUCGGUUCGGGGCUAAGGGCUCGGUGCUUUUAACCCAGAACUGGGAACUCGUGUAUUGAAAAUUGAAACUUGCCAGCCAGACAAUAACAUAAAAGAGAAUUUGCAAUUGCGUGUGCGUCAAAUCGAUUUGAUUCAAGAGGUUUCCCAUUGCCCACGGCCACCGGCCGAUCCGGAUAACACAAUAACAAUAACAGUGAUGCACUCGGAAAAGAACCAUGGCAGAACGGACGGAUACUUUUUUUUUGCACAUAGUAGGUUAGGACUCAAGGAUCAUAGUCCUUAUUUGUUUUUUAAUUGUUUAUGAUUUCUGUAUUCAUGUUAGAUUCUUUUUGGGAGAUGACCUUCGGUGCUUUGCAGACUUUUGACCAAAAUUAUAAUACUUAUAAAAGCUAAUAAAUGAAAAGAAAAUGCCAAAAAUCAUUAAUAUUGUUCUGGCUCUAGUUCAAAAGACCAACCUUCGCCUCUUCGCAUGCACUAUCUAGAGUUUCCCGCUGCGGUAGUGGACUGGUCGGUGGCCGCCGAAGAGGAUGCGCUUGAAGGCCUGCCGGAACUCCGGGCUGAAAAUGGUGUAGAUGACCUGAAAGAAUAGAAAGUAAAUAUCAUUAUAUUAAGCUAUAAAAAGGAAUUUAUACAACAUUUCCUACAGAAUAGGUGUGUGUUCCACAACAGUUAACCCUUUGAGUCUAGACUUACGAAUUUGGUUUUAAUGGAUCAGUUAUUUUAAGCAAAUUUAUUGUUUUACGAGUGAUUUAAUGACUAAAAGUAAUUUGGUAAAAAGUGAUGCGAUUAUGUUAAAAAUCGAUUAACGUCGGGGUCAAUAAAAGCAUAGCUGGAUUAGUUUUGAACAUGGCACGUUUGUGGGUAGUUUGCCUCGGAACCUGCCUUUUGUGGAGUGUGGUACUGCGAAUGCCAGUUGGUGUACAAGCUAAAAAACCUUGCCUGUGAGCCCAACCCAAAGUUUGUGUCGAAUGCCAGUUGCAAGUUAAGGGCUAUUAAUUGGAACAAGUCGGUGGCGAAUGUGUCUUGUUUUUUGCACGAAAAAAUCUAUCCAACUGUUCAAGUGCAGUUUUUUAAGAAGGACUAUACCAAUCAGUUUAAGCCUUUUUUGGUCGACGUGAAGAUGAACAUUUGCGAUGUGAUUCAAAAGAAGAGUUACUUUACCUAUGGAGUUAUCCUCUGGAAAAUUUUCAAAAAAUUUUCUAAAACCGAACACAUUUGUCCGUUCUAUGAUGAUGUUGUAGUUCAACAAGGCUAUUUAGAGUCCGACCUAAUCCCACCACUUCCCAAAGGAAUCUUCCAAUGUAGUCUAACAUUCUGGAGCAACGCAACUACUCCUGAGAAUUGGGGCUCAGUGAAGAUCUCAUUGGAAUCAAUGGAUAUGGUAAAGACCAAAAAGAAAUCAAGAUUAUAGGAGACAUAUUUACUAGAAAAGCACAAACAGUUUUUCGUCUAAUGGUUUCUGGUGCACAUUAAAUACCUAUAAACACUUAAUGGCUUGUGACCCACAGAAGCUUUGUUUUGAAUUAAUCUUUUUAAUCUAAAAAAAUUUAAAAAACUUCCCUAAACGCGUCCCAUUUUAAUUUAAAAUAUGUUGUAAUGUUAUGUCAUUGGACCGUUUAAUUAAUAAACGUUUAUUUGAUAUGA